rnacentral:rRNA from 1 species
GACGAACGCUGGCGGCGUGCCUAAUACAUGCAAGUAGAACGCAGUUGCGAACGGGUGAGUAACGCUUAGGUAACUGCCUCAUAGCGGGGGAUAACUAUUGGAAACGAUAGCUCAUACCGCAUCAUGUGCGAUGGACUUGCGUUGUAUUAGCUAGUUGGUGAGGUAAAGGGUCACCAAGGCGCCGAUACUUAGCCGACCUGAGAGGGUGCUCGUCCACACUGGUCCUGAGCCACGGCCCAGACUCCUCCGGGAGGCAGCAUGAGGGAAUCUUCGGCAAUGGACGAAAGUCUGACCGAGAAACGCCGCGUGAGUGAAGAAGCUUUUCGGAUCGUAAAACUCUGGUGUUAGAGAAGCGGUAUCUAACCAGAAAGCCACGGCUAACUACGUGCCAGCAGCCGCGGUAAUUC